CAGUUUGAUCCUGGCUCAGGAUGAACGCUGGAGGCGUGCGUAACACAUGCAAGUUGAACGACGGUGUCAUGAAGUGGUAACACGGAUUGAUAUACGGAGUAGCGGACGGGUGAGUAAAGCAUGAGAAUCCGUCCUGCGGAGGGGGAUAACGUUCGGAAACGGACCCUAAUACCCCAUAGUCCGAGAGGUUAAAGGCAGAGAUGUGCCGUAGGAGGAGCUCGUGUCCUAUCAGCUGGUUGGUGAGGUAAGGGCUCACCAAGGCGACGACGGGUAGCCGGCCUGAGAGGGUGACCGGCCACACUGGAACUGAGAUAUGGUCCAGACUCCUACGGGAGGCAGCAGUGGGGAAUACUGGGCAAUGGGAGGAAUCCUGACCCAGCGACGCCGCGUGAACGAAGACGGCCUUCGGGUUGUAAAGUUCUUUUAUGUGGGAAGAAUUAAGUGACGGUACCACAUGAAUAAGCCCCGGCUAACUACGUGCCAGCAGCCGCGGGAAUACGUAGGGGGCGAGCGUUGUCCGGAAUUACUGGGCGUAAAGGGCACGCAGGCUGUGCUUCAAGUCAGCUGUAAAAGGAUGCGGCUUAACCGUGUUAUGCGGUUGAGACUGAGGUGCUGGAGUACCGGAGAGGCAAGUGGAAUUCCCAGUGUAGCGGUGAAAUGCGUAGAUAUUGGGAAGAACAUCGGUGGCGAAGGCGACUUGCUGGACGGUAACUGACGCUGAGGUGCGAAAGCCAGGGUAGCGAACGGGAUUAGAUACCCCGG
rnacentral:rRNA from 1 species